rnacentral:lncRNA from 1 species
UUUUUUCUGAUGGCCGAAGUUAGAAGGAAGACUGAGCUUUUGAGUGAAAUCUGCCAUUGUUCUGUUGCCUUUGCCCUCAGGGGACUUGGUUUAUCCUGCAAGGUGCAAGAGCCUUGUCCUAAAACGCUCUUUAAUGGAGGAGAAUAAAAAUCAGGCUCAUUAUCAGGAUGAAGUAGCUAACAUCCUGUUUCCACCUAAGUCAGCUUAGAGAAGCCAUUUACUAUAUUACAACUCUGUCCUCCCCUGCCUUAUCCCACACCAAAAGGUACACAUUGGAUUUAGGAGAUUAAUUCUGCUUGUGGAACUGCCAGCUCUCGCAAACCCUCAUAAUCAGAGUUCAAGAGGGAAAUCAGUGGUGCUACAGCAGGGCUUGACAGAAAAAUAUGUUUGGGAGUAUGGAAUUUCUAUUUCCUCAAAGUAAUAUACUUCAAAGAAACUAGGUAUAGGAGUUUUUAAUUUUGCUACUUAGAUACAAAGCCCUCUCUUCUGCUGUGCUCUGACACAGGAAACAAAGUUACGUGGCUAGCUACCUUUUGUAGUCAGCAAUGCAUAUUUUUUCAUGGACCUCCUUAAUUAAUGCAAACAGACUUGCCCCAUUCUCAAUCAUUUCCACAAUUACAUUUACUUUUGCCUCUGUGUCUAUUAGUGGGGGGAGGGGCAUAUUUGUAUAGGCAUCUCCUAGUUACCAGAAUGCAUUUAACUGGGAACUGAGUUCUUCAAUGUAAUGAAAUCACAUUUCAGAAUGGAGCAAACCUCUUAAGGUCACAUGUUUAAAGAAAAGGAAGAUUUUCAAGCAUAUGACAUUAUUAAAAAUAUUAGCAAUGAAGUCAAUGAAGAAGUCUAUGAAGUCUAUCCAUUGAGUCUCUAAUAUAUCAAGGUAUGUUACUAGAUGCUAUAUGUGAUUUAUUUAAAAGUUGAAGGGGCGCCUGGGUGGCGCAGUCGGUUAAGCGUCCGACUUCAGCCAGGUCACGAUCUCGCGGUCCGUGAGUUCGAGCCCCGCAUCAGGCUCUGGGCGGAUGGCUCAGAGCCUGGAGCCUGUUUCCGAUUCUGUGUCUCCCUCUCUUUCUGCCCCUCCCCCGUUCAUGCUCUGUCUCUCUCUGUCCCAAAAAUAAAUAAAAACGUUGAAAAAAAAAAUUAAAAGUUGAAUAUUGGUCCCUAUUUUCAAGGAGCUUAUAAUCUAGUUGGCAAGAGAAGUUUAAAAUUACACACAAAUUAGAUAUAAGAUUCAAUAGUAGAGCAAUACCAACAUGUCUGCUAAGUUCAGGGAGUUUAAAGGAUGGAAAAUAAUGAGAAUAAAUGUUAAAUUUCAUUUUGAAAGAGCCUGGAGUUGUUAGAAAAUCAUCAAGGCUUUAGGAAUUUCUACCUUUCGGAAAGAAAGACCCACUUUGUGAGACAUGGUAAAGUUGACGGCCCUACAGGCAGGAGUUUCAGUCGGUCUUUUUAAUUUUAUGUUUUAUGCUAAAAUAUAGCAUGACACUUAACCUUGCGAAUAUUCUUCUCCUUCACCUAAUCUCCAAAGAUGAUUAUUUUUUUUUAAUUUUUUUUAAUGCUUGUCUAUUUUUGAGAGAGAGAGAGAGAGAGAGAGAGAGAGAGAGAGAGCAGGGGAGGGUCAGACAGAGAGGGGGACACAGAAUCCGAAGCAGGCCCCAGGCUCCCGAGCCGUCAGCACAGAGCCCGACGUGGGGCUCGAACUCACGAGCUGUGAGAUCAUGGCCUGAGCCGAGGUCAGACGCCCAACUGACUGAGCCACCCGGGCACCCCGAUGAUUAUUUUUAACAAGAGUUUCAAUUAGGAGUGCCUGGGUGGCUCAGUGUGUUGAGCAUCUGACUUUGGCUCAGCUCAGGAUCUCAUGACUCAUGAGUUCGAGCCCCGUGUCGGCUCUGUGCUGACAGCUCGGAGCCUGGAGCCUGCUUCAGAUUGUGUCUCCCUCUCCCUCUGCCCCUCAUGCCCCACUCAUGCUCUGUCUCUCUCUCAAAAAUAAUAAGCAAUAAAACAUUUUUUUAAAGAGUUUCAAUGAAUUAAGGAAUACUUGCAUUGUUCAAAUCAUAUUUCAUCUGGUUUCUUCUAUUUUAAGGAUACUGGAAUGAGUAUUAACUUCUCUGGAUGCUCUGAAGUCUAUAGUAAGAGCUACAGAAUCACAAACGCAUUAUCGGCUUCAUAAGAUAGCAAUGCUGUUUUAGGGAAGUUCAGAUUCCAUUUUGUGGGUGUUUUCAUAAACAACUGCACUUCUAACUUCAGUUUAAACAAAACAGAAAUCUUAACUGUCAACCAGAAUAACUCUUAAACUUGAGUUUUAACAUGUCAUAUUAUGGGAGUCUUAGCUCUCUGUCUCUCUUCAUCUCCAAUAUGCAAAGAGCCCAGAAAGGUGCAAAACUUAGAGGAGACAUCAAAAUGAAAGCUGAAUAUUUGGGUUCAAAUUGUAGAGGAAGAAAAGGAAUAUUUUGGAGAAUCACAAGGGAUAUGUCUGUUGUGAUUGCUUUAAAUCAAUUUAAGCACGCACUGCAUUUUAAGUAAGUUGUUUGCCUGGUUUGUUUUAUUUUUAAUAAAUAAACAUAAAACUAUAAUCUUAAAUGCAGGGUGAGAAUCCAGAUAAUUGCUUUACUUUUAUAAUUGAGAGCAUCUGUGUCUCAAAACAUCAUAAGUCUGAGAGCUACUCUGGGGAUGAUACACUAUGCAUUCAAAAUACUAGAAGAGGAGAACUUCUUAGUGAAAUAACAGCGCACCUAUGGUCACUGUAUCAGUGUUUCUGAAUUUUUAUUUCGUCCUUUGAGGGUUUUCCAGAAAUACGGACCUUUCAUAUGUUUAAAAAAGGUAGGAUCAAUUGCUUUGUUUCUGAAUUAAAAACUGAAGUAUCCCCAAACUAUCCAGCUUCACAUCCACACACAGGAAUUCUAACAUCAUAGUUCAAAGCUUCUAAGUCCAAUUACUGUGCCAGUAUUAGGAUUAUAAUGCACCCCAUUCUUGAUUAUUCAAAGACUAAUUAUCUAGGCCAGGCACUUAAGCUUGUCCCUAUUCCCUUGGUUUUCUGCCAUUUGGUUAUUUUAAGGUUCACUGGCCUCUUCACAUGCCGGGCAGAGGAAAUAGAAGAUGAAAUUCAAAUCAGCAAAUUUUAACUUCUCAUAUGAUCUACUAAAAAUUAUGGGAUAGAGGAGGAAUAGCUAACGGGACGAUUGAGGUUCUCCGUGUAUUUGAUUUAUUAAUAGUGUUGUCUUUCUCCAAUGAUAAGCUGGCCAGAUGUCUUGAACUAAGUAAAAUAACACUUGAUUUUGACUCUUUGACCUUCCUAUUAUUUCACUUUAUUGAUUAAUUUUGUCCCUGGGAUUCCAGUUCUUCCUCCCUUUGUCCUUCCUUCUCCCUUUCCUUCCUCACUGUCAGCAGGAGUUACAUUUAUUUACUAAAUGACAGCCCUUUUAUUUCUGACUUUGAAGGGGAAUCCCUAGGAUAUCCAGGCCUUUCCUACCACACUUUUAACUCUGCUAGGUUUGCUAAACUAGACCCUCAACGCUAUAUGCUUACAUGCUACCCCCAGCAGAGAAUGGGGUGUGGCCCUGCUGUAGCUCCCUCGGCUGCAAGUUUUAUCAUGUCUUGUCACUUUAGAUGCUUCUACAGACGUUUAAGAUGACCCACCAUCCAGCCACAUCGCUCACUCCACUCCCACUGUGUACCUCUGUAAGUGACAAAAUCCUUAGCCAAUAGAAUAUAAAUCAGAGCAUUAUUUCUUUCAGUCCUGUCUCUCCAUCAUUCCUUGUUUACCAGCCAAACCCACAACAGUUUCCUACAGCUCAAACUGUCAAGGAUUCAAUCAAAGUUCAGGCCACAGGAAGGAAGGAUCCCCAGGCAAGAAUAAGCCUAUGAAUAAGACUCCCCAAAUUCAAAGGAUUCAUCUUCCAUUGGCUCCAUAGAGGCACCAAAACCCCUGUUAAGCCUGUAAUCUUCUGUCCAACAUUAGAAACCACAGGUCCUAGACAUAGCCCCAAUCCUGAAGGGAAAUGAGCAGCUGUCCUCCAUAUUCCCAAAGCCUAAAAGGUGUAUCAUGGUUCCAGGAUCAUGAGGGAAGAGAAGAAUUAGGUUACAGGUCACAGGCUCAUAUUCUGUUGUCUCAUGGUCUAUUCUAGUCUGGUCUAUGUUAUGUGAUGAGAUGACUCAUGUAUCUGUAUAUCUAUAGUUGUAUCUAUAUUAACUACACCUAUAUCUAUAUAUCUAUGUCUACACCUAUGCCUAUAUCUAUCUAGCAGACACUAAGUGGUUUAUAUGUAUCAUAUCUCUCCUUACAGCAACUCUGAAAUAGGUACUACUAACAUCUAUCACACAUGAGAAACUAAGGUUCAACUUGCCAGAAAAUGGCAGUUGGCUUCAAACCCAGAUUGUCUGACUCCAGAGUCCAUGCUCAUUCUAUUACACACCCCAGCCCUAUAUUGAGUCUUAUUCCCUCAUUUUCCCCACAUCUCAAAUUGCCACCAGCUAAAGCUUAUUAGCUAGUCGAUAAAUAAGACUUCAUUCCUGCAAUAACUGACCACUUAAGACCUUCCAUGUAAGACUACUCUAACUUUACCUCUACACCAGGUUGUAGAUUGUAGAUCCUUCCCAGGAUUCUCCAACUCAGGCCAGGGUCCCCAACAAGAAGACUCUUUUCCAGGUCUCCUUUUCACAGAGUUGACCAUGAAGAGCUCAGAAAGAAGGGGAAAAAAUAGUAUUAACUACAAAUGUGUAAAUGGCAUGUGGGAGCAUAGAUGGCAAAGAAUUGGAAAUAACCUAGAAAGUUGACACCAAUGGAAAGUUCCCAGUAAGUAGUAACAUAUAGCAAUACUUGAUAUAGCAAUUAAAACAAAUAAAAUAAAAAUAUUAUAGACAUUCCUGAAAGAUACAAGAUAGACUUGAACAAAUGGAAAGUUUCCCCUAUUUUUGGAUAGGAUGAUUCAAUAUCAUAAAUAUGUCAGCUCUUUCUAAGUUUAUUUAUAAAUUUAACUCAAUACCAAUAGAAAUGCCAACAAGAUUUUCUGUGGUAUUAGGCAAGUUGACACUAAAGUUCAUAUGGAAAAACAAACAUGCAAGAAUGGUCAGAAACAUACUGAAAAAGAAAACCUAUGAGGUUGUGGUAAGGAGGGGGAAUUAGCCCUUACCAGACAUUAAAACAUGCUAGAGAAAGCUUGCAAGUUCCUAUUUAGUCUAUAGGCUAAAGAAAGGCUUUCAAUCAUGGUUCAAAACCCUGAGACAAUUUAAAAAAAAAUUAAUAAAGAUUGACUACAUAAAAAUUUUUAUAUGGCAAGAGAAAAAACAGUAUAAACAAAGUCAAAAGACUUUGAUAAAAUAGACGAAAACAUUUGCCACACAUACCACAUGCAAGCAGCUAAUAUCCCUAAUAUACAAAGAACUCUUAAAAAUCCAAAGACAGGGGCACCUGGGUGGCUUGGUCGGUUAAGUGGCCAACUUCAGUUCAGGACAUGAUCUCGUGGUUCAUGAGUUUGAGCCCCAUGUCAGGCUCUGUGCUGACAGCUCAGAGCCUGGAGCCUGCUUUAGACUCUGUGUCUCCCUCAUUCUCUGCCCCUUCCCCAGCUCACUCUCUCUCUUUCUCUCUCAAAAAUAAAUAAACUUAGAAAAAAAAUUUUAAAAAUCCAAAUACAAAAUCUUAAAAUGAAGAAUGACAUGAAGGUAAACACACAAACAUACACACACGAUCUAAAGUGGCCCUUAAAUAUAUAAAAAGUGAUUAAACACACUCAGAGAAAUGCAAACUGAAACACUGAUAUCCCAUUUCUCAUUUAUUAGAUUGGUGAAAAUUUUAAAGUAAGACAACACAUUCUUUUGGUGAGGCUGUAGGGAAACAAGCACUCACAUACAUUACUGAUGAGAAGGCAAACUGAUGAAUCCUUCUGGAAGGGAAUUUGGCCACAUCUAACAAAAGUACACAUGCACAUAUCUUUUGACUUGACUAUUCCACUUCUAGGAUUCUAGCAUAAAGACAGAUCUCCAAUAAUAUAAGAAUACAGACUGACAAGAUUAUUCAUUGCAAUACUGUAAUUGCAAAAUAUUAGAGACAAUCUAAAUGCCCAUACACAGGAGACUAAUUGAAAAAAAAUGUGGUAUAUCACACAAUGGAGUACUGCAUUACAUGCAGCAGCAAACAAGGAAAAGGAAGAUCUCUGUGAACUGAUAUGAAGGGAUUUCUAGAACAAACUAUUAAGCAAAAAAAAAAUCAAAGUACAAAGGGAAUAUCUACAGUAUGUUAUCCUUCAUCUAAGAAAGACGGGAAUGUAGGAAAAUAUGUAUCUGCUUAUUUGUACAAAAGGAAUACAGGAAGGAUAGACCAGUAACCAAUGAGCAUGGUUACUUUGUGGUUGUUGGUGGAAUAGAAAAGGCAGAAGAAAAAAGGGGGCAGAGGAACAGGUAGUAAGGAUGGGGGGAGCAAUAUUUCUCUGAAUACAGCUUUUUAUGUAACGUUGACUCUCAGAACCAUGGUAAAGUUUCGUGGUAUUAUAUAUACUGUGGAUAAUGAAAGUCAGGUUUCCAACUGUCACAGAAAAAAGCUACAACUCAGGAAAAGCAAAAGGCUAGAACAAUGUGGUGUUAAAUUGGAAUCAGAGGUAUCAGCAUGAACUCAUGGAUUUUAAUAUACAUACAGGUGGAUACAUACAGAAAUAAAUCAUACACACACACACACACACACACACACACACACACACACACACACACUUCCUAGAUCUGUCCACUUGAUAGAGAGCCUAGAAAAAAAUGGCGCUCGGUCAUUCAGGCACAGACACCUAGUGCCCAGGCCCUGGUUUCUAAGUAACAUUCUCCAAUGAAGGGGACCUGGGCUCCUUGGAAAAGUGGUCAGUUCUACAGCUGGGAUAGGGAAAAUACAAGAUGAGCCUGAAUGCUGAUGUGUCAGAAAGUAACGAAGUGCUCAAAAAAGCAACGGACCUGUUAAAAGGACACAGAAGCCAACCUGAAGGAGCUCUUAAUAACCAAAGCUGGGACAAUUUGAGCAACAAAAGGACAAUAAUAAUAAUAGUAAUGGAAAAAAAUAAUAGUAAUGGAUUAUAACCCACAGAAUAUACAAUAAAUACUCAUGAGACCAUAUUAGUCUAGAUAAAUAAUCAGAAUUAAACAGGGGAUAAGCUAGUUACAAGAAGGCAAACAUUGUAAUAUUCCUAAUCUAUGGCAUUUUUGGAGUAAAUUUCAGGGACACAAAGUAAAAUGGUGAAGGCAGGUAUGGGGAGGUGAUGUUUAGUGGGGACAGAGUUUCAGUUGGGGAAGAUGAAAAAGUUUCUAGAAAUGGAUGGUGGUGAUGGUUGCACAACAAUGUGAAUGCCCUUAAUGCUACAGAAUUGUACACUUAAAUGUAGUUAAGAUGGUAAAUUGUAUGUUAUAUAUAUUCUACCACAAUAAAUUUUUUAAGUGUAUUUAGAAAGCAAAAAUAAAAACAAAUAAUAAACAGAGGAGAAUGUCUGGCUCCUCCUUACAGUAGAACUCUAAUGAAUGCAGAAGGAAUGAGGGAAAAUAAGAAAACCUCCAGGGGCGCCUGGGUGGCUAAGUUGGUUAAGCAUCCGACUUUGGCUCAGGUCGUGGUAUCACCGUUCAUGAGUUCAAGCCCUGCAUGGGGGUCUCUGUUGUCAGUGUGGAGCUGCUUUGGAUCCUCUGGCUCCCCCCCCCUCUCUGCCCCUCCACCAUUCACACUCUCCCUCCCUCUCAAAAAUAAAUAAACAUGAAAAAGAAAAUCUCCAGUAGGCAAACACUAGAAUAUUACUUGCAGCAGCAAGAACUAUUGAUGGAUGUUAAAAUUAUUGAGCAAAUGAGAAACAAGAUAUUUGCACAGAGUAUCUCCCCCAAAAGAUACUUAUUAAUUACAAAGGGGAAGAUAUGAACUUUAAAGUGGAGACACUUGGCAGAUACCAUCCAGCUACAUGAUCAAAGGUACCACCACAACUUGUAAGACAUGUCAGCAAAGAGACACAACACCUUUUCUGUGAUAUUCCUGCCAAAAUGCACGAUCUAGACCCCAUCAUGAGGAAACAUCAGACAUAUCUGAACUGAGGGACAUACUACAAAAUAACUGGUCUCUAAAUCUUCAGAAGAAUCAGGAUCUUUAAAGUCAAGGAAAGACCGGGGAACACCUGGGAGAAUGAAGGAAACCGAAGAGACAUGACAGCUAAAUGUCAACAUGUUUCUGAACUGGAACCAUUUUCUAUACAGGACCUUAUUGGUACAGUCGGAGAAAGUGGAAUGGUUUGAGGAUUAUAAGGUAGUAAUAUGUCAGUGUUAAUUGCCCGAUUUUGAUGAUUGCAAUGCAGUUAUAUAGCAGAACACCCUCACAUGUAGGAAACACACACUGAAGUAUUCAGGGGUAACAGGACAUCAGGUUAGCAACGUAUUCUCAAAUUGGUGAAAAGGAAAUUACUGGUACUUAACUUGCAUGCAUAAAUUUGAGAUCUUGUCAAAAUAAAAAUAUAACUAGUAUGAAAAGAUAAAGGAAUUACCUCACAUAAUUCCAAAUGCAGAGAAUUGAGGAAGGAGUAAAGAGGCAAAGAGCAAAUCAAAGAGGCAUCAUUGGAAGAAAUAAGAGCCCAGAAUGGCUAAGAAUUUUCCAAGCUGAGGAGGAAAGAAAGUCUCAAGUCCUCAGAGUGAAUGUUUACAUCAACUGCCAAGACAGAAUAACAAAAAUAAAUCCACAUCUAAGCAUACCAUAGUGAAAAUUCUGAACAGCAGGGAUAAAGCGAAAAUCCUAAAUGCUACCAGGAGAGAAGACAGAUUACCUACAAAGAGGCAGUCAUUAGGCUGAAAGCAGGCUUCUCAUGGGUGAAUUGACACCAGCAGAUGGUAGGGAAAUAGCUUCCAAGCAGAAAAGCAAAAAUAACGAGAACUGUAUAUGGAGCAAAACCAGUGUCAUUCUGACUGCAGUAGGUCUCAACAGGAUAUCCCUCAGCAAGAAGAAAACUGAACCCAGAAGGAAGGAGUGGGAUAUAAGGAACAUACCUGGCAAAGAAAUUAACAAAAUGUAUUGGUAAAUCUAUACAAAUAUUGAUUGCUAAUAAUAAUCAUAACAACAACUAAUUUUUUGCCUUAAUUUAAAAACUGGUAAAACCAACAAUAAAAUGGCAGAUUGAAGAAAGGAUUCUUUGGGUAAUUAAAAGCCCGGAUAAAUUUCUUGUCUUGUCCAGAAGGAGAAGAGAAUGACUGAAGAGUUAUAGACUUUGGGCAGAGAGCUUAAAGUGAACGUUAAAAAUGUAAAAAAAAAAAAAAAUUAAACAUAGAAUCUAAAAUUUUCAAACUCCUGGAGUAGAGGUUGAGGAAAGAAUAAUAAAAAUGCAUAAAUCCAAAACAGAGCAAGAAAUUAUUUUUAAGUAGGUAAAACUUGGUAAAUAAAAAAUAACGUAAGGUGGUAGAAAUAAGUCCAACUAUGUCAUUAAUCACAAUCAAUGGAAACUGAUUAAACUCAGCUAAGCAAGUUACUUUGUGGAUAAAGGAGUAAACAUCAGCAAUGAGAAACUUUCAAGAGACAUACAUAAAACAAAUAAAGAAAAUAAAGAGAUGGAGAAAGAUAGCCCAGGAAAAUACUAAGCAAAAGAUUUUGAGUGAGCAAUUGUGAUCAUAGAUAAAACAGAAUUUAAGGCUAAAGCAUUAACAGAGAUAAAGAGCUUCAUUCUAAAAUGAUUUUUUGAAGUCUGGAAAAAAAAAUAACUAUCAUGAACUUGUAUGCAUCUACUAAUAGAGCUUAGGUGUAUACAAGCAAAAAAAAAAAAAAAGAAUUACAAAGAAAAUUGGAUAAUCCACAUUCAUAGUAGGAGAUUUUAACGUUAACUCUCUCAGACACUGAUAGACAAGUCUGACAGAGAAUCACACAACACAAUUAACAAACAUGAUGUAUAGUACAGAUCAUUAAGAGAACACUACAUUUUUCAUGUAUAUGUGGCAUAGUUACAAAAAUUAACCAUUAAGUCACAAAGGAAGUUUCAACAAAAUUAAAAAAAUCAAUAGCAUACAGUUUGCAUUCUCUGACCACUGUGCAAUUAAAUUACGAAUAAGAAAUAAAAGAGAGUAAAACUAAAAACACCCUUAUACUAUUUGGAAAUGAAAACUGCAUUUUUAAAUAGCCAAAUGUUAAAGAAAAAAUUACAAUAGGAAUUGUAAAAGAUUUAGAACCAAAGCCAGUGAAAUAUUUGUUCUUUGAAAGAGCUCUUUCAAAACUUAUAGGAUGUAGCAAUACCAACCCUGGACCUUUUCCCCUCUUCUCUCCCAGCCCAUUCACCUACAGCCAUGGCCUAGACAAGCAAAUUUCCUUUCUGCCCAUCUUAAGGAUGGAGAGGGGGUGGGCACCUGGGUGGCUCAGUCAUUAAGCAUCUGACUUUGGCUCAGGUCAUGAUCUCACGGUUCAUGAGUUUGAGUUCCACUUGAGGUGAACUCAAGCUCCGCUUCUCCCUCUUUCUUUCUCUUUCUUUCUUUCUUUCUUUCUCUUUCUCUUUCUCUUUCUUUCUCUCUCUCUCUCUCUCUCUCUCUCUCUCUCCCCCCACCUCGCUCACUUGCUCCCUCCCCUCUCUCUCUCUCUCAAAAAAAAAAAAAAAAUGCAGAAGGGGUGACGUGUUUUCCAAUUUAAUCACUGUAUGGGUCCUAGAUUUAUACUGGAGGUCUUCAAUCUAACUCCCCACCUUGCUGGGGACCUCAGCUCUCUCUUCUUUUCCCCAUCAAGGGUCUAUUAAAAUUGAAGUUCAAAGGAUGAAAACUACCAGGGAAUCUAAGGACUUCCCUUACUUGUUUUUCCAGCUUUAAAAUUCAUCUUAAUAUUAAAAAAAAUAUUUUAUUAAGCAUCUGUAGAUGUUCCUAUCAGGAAGGUUUCUUAGGAUAUCUAGUCCACCACUUUGCCCAAAAUGGAGUGCCACCAUCUGCCAAGCUAACUAUCCCCUCUGUAUCUGAAUUUCUUCUAUAAAAUGGGGAUAAUAAUAGAAUCUACCUUACAAGUUUGGUGUGGGGAGUAAGUGAGAAUAUACAUGUGAAGCCCCUGGCACUGGUAAGGGCUCAAUAAAUGCUGAUUAUUCGCAGCAGCAGUUGUCCUGUGAAAUUGGUACCAAUUGAGUAAAAAAGAAAUCAAUAUUAUAAAGCAAUGUUAUCUAUGACUAUACGUGGAAAAUUCCUAAGUAAAAAAAAAAAAAAAGUUAAACAUGAAAUCUAGUAGGGGUAUAAAAGAGUACAAAAUGGCCAGGUACAUUUAUCUCCGAUGGUUCCAUAUUUAAAUUUUUUUAUUUUUAAAAAUCAAUCAACAUAGUUGACCUUACUGAAAGAUUAAAUGAAGAAACGGCAUGAUCAUCCUAAUGGAUGUGGUCAAAGCAACAAAAUUUAAGCUUCAUCCAUUGUAAUUACCCUCAGCAAGUAUGGGGGGAAGAGAGCCUCCUCAGUCUGACAAAGUCACUGCAAAACACCAAGAACAAACAUCAGAAAAAAAGGUGAAUCUUCAGGAGGAUUUCCACUGAAGUCACAAGUGAAACAGGAAGUUACUUUUCACCAUGAUUAUUCAACAUUAUACUGGGGUUUCUACAGCAGUGCUGACAAAUAGGAAUGUAUUCAGAGCCACAUAUGCAUUUUAAAAUUUUCUAGUAGGCAUGUUAAAAAAAAGUAAUUAAAAAAAAGGAGACAUUAACCAAUACAUUUUAUUUAAUCUGGUAUAUCCAAAUUAUCAUGCCAACAUACAAUCAAUAUAAAAAAUUAUCAGUGAGUUAUUUUACUUUUUUUCAUAUUAAAUCUUCAAAGUCUGCAGGUUUUCUUAGAUAUACAGCACGAUGCAGACUAGCCACAUUUCAGGUGCUCAGUUGGCACAUGUGAAAGGGUGCUAAUCAAGGAAACUCACCAGGCUGACAAAAUUUUCGAAGUCUGAAAAUGACAAGCAUUGGCAAGGAUAUGGAAGAAGGACUCAUAUAUUGCUGACAAAAUCUCCUUGCCAUUUGGAGAGCAAUGUCUAAUAUUGGAAAAUGUGCAUAAUAUUCAGCCUAAUAAUUCCACUUUGCAGGUACAGACUUUAGGCGAACUCUCACCUACAUGUAUAAUAAAUAGUCUUCAGCAUUGCUUGUAAUAGGAAAAAGAUGGAAAGACACUAAAUAGCCACAAGAAGAAAAAGGAGAGACAAAUUGAGGUAUACUCACAGAAAGGAAUAAUAUAUAGUAGACAAAAUGAACUAGAUGUAAAUAGAGUAAAAUGGACCAAGCUCAAGAACAAUAGAAAUAUUAUAUAUAAUACAUAUAUAACUAUAUAUAUUAAUAUUAAUAUUACCCAGUGUUGCCCUAGCAGUUUUUUGCAUUUUUGAAAGUUUUCACAAUAGUAAUCAUAUAAUGUUUCUUUUUUUGUUGUUAAUUUAUUUAUCUGGAGAGACAGCAUGAGCAGAGGAGGGGCAGAGAGAGAGAGAGGGAGAGAGAGGAACACAAGCAGGCUCCACGCCAACAGCACAGAGCCCGACGCAGGGCUCAAACUCAUGAACCAUGAGAUCAUGACCUGAGCCGAAACCAAGAGUCAGAUGCUUAACUGACUGAGCCACCCAGGUGCUCCAAUCAUAUAAUGAACGCUUCUUGCUAUCAAUGUAUGAAGGAUGAAAAAUUCUUACUAGCUACACAAAAUCAGAAUAGAUGGUGUUAAAAGGAAAUGAAGUUCUACACAUAAAGAUCUGUGUGUACACCUACACAAUGGAUGCACACAUGCAACUGGCAGAGGUCCAGUCUGGCUUCAGACAGGCUGUGGCCUGUGUCUAGAAUAGUAUCUUGCACAAAGCAGGUAGUCCAUAAGUACUAGUUCAAUAAAUGCGUGAACAGUGUUGCACUGGUGGAUGGGCACUCAAGGGCCAAUUUGCAUGAGUGGAGGUUUGCCACCAUUGUUGUGCUGUGAUUGCUUAAGAACGAGGACUUGGUUUUGCAGGUUCAUUUGAGGGUUCACAGUGGGGAACAAAAUACAGUGCCUGACCUAGAUACUGGCCUUCAGUCCAACUGAGGUCUCUUUAUAAAAAGAGGAAGGGUACAUCUAGCCUACAGGGGAAAUGACUUCUCCCCCAUGUUACUCUAAACACAGUAAUUCUACUCUGGUAGCCAGAUAACACAGCACAUCACACAGUGGAUGAGCAUGAGAGAGUUGGAGGAAGGAUAGUUUCUCUACUUCCUCAGAACCCAGUGUGACUUUGGCUCAGCAAGUACUCCAGGAGACUCUGACUUAAUUUGGUACCUCAAGAAUUUGCCACGGAAAGCUGUAUGUAUCGUCACUGAUAGAGCUUCAUGGUAACUUGACCUACCAUUACAUAGUUUUCAGUACCUCUAGAUAAAACCACUUGCCCACAUAAGAUAUUUAUGCACCAUAAAAGCUGAUAAUUUAUGGAAAGAUAGAUGAAUAGGUGGAAGAUAGAUAAUAGAAUAGACAGAUAACUUUUUCCCUAUUUGAGAAGAUAUCCACUCUACCAGAUAAAAUUUAGCUGCUAUAAGAUGGACUAGGCCAAAACCCAUGAGAAGUCUCUGUUAAAAAAAAAGAAGUAAGAUCCUCAUGAAUGUUUUGCAAUUAACUAUGUUCCAUGCAUAACAAACCUAAAUAUGAGAAUUGGCAAUGAGACCUACAGCGAGUGAAAGGAAGGGGAUUUUGAGUGUUUCACGUUGUCUUUUUUGGCUCCAAGAGAACCAGGAUGUGGUUUCAAUUUUGGAUGUGCUAAUUAUGUUUGUCAAUUGUGAGCUUUGCUUAAUUAAUUAGUCAUGUAAAUUUAACUUUAGUAUUUUUUGCACAUCUAAAUCAUUACUAUAGCAAUUAAAAAGCUGCUUUGAUUAGCUCCUUCCACAGUGUGCAGCACAGCAUGCUUUUGUCAACUUCCUUUUGACAAUCUAGCAUUUCGGUGCUGUUUAGAGAAAAUAUAUUCUAUAGGUUUGGGGAAAAAUAAAAACCAAGACAGGUGACAAGAAAGGUGGCCUAGCAGUGGCAGCUAAGUCAGUAACUGUUGGCAACAUAAAAUCAGUGGAUACAGACUGGAAAUGGUCAUGGCACAUGCUCAGGAGGAGUUCCCAGGGGUGGAGAGAGUUGGUGCGCUGAAUAAACCAGGAACAUGUUUCUUUUGGUAAAUUAAAGUGGGAAGAAGAUAACAGCCAGAGAUUUAUAUGUCUUUGGACCAAAAUCAAUGUCAAAACCUAUAAAACACCAUAGGAACCAAGUCUGUCCCUGCCUGGGAGACCCAGAGUGACUCUCAUAAUCAUUAAUAAAUACUGUGGCCAGGUGAAGCUUGUGCCAGGUGAAGCUCUCCCCAAGGGCCACUUCCUGCUUUAACAAGCCCAACUCUCAGGGACAUUUUAUGAUAUUACGUUAAACUUCCUCUUAAUUGCUAAAUAAGUGUUGCAUUCCCCUAUGAACCACCUGUGGAUGCUGCAUUACUCUCCUUUCUGCAGAGUGAGAACCUGACACAUAGUGGGAUUUAUUAGAUUUCUCCCACCCCCAUCACAGAAAUUAGGAGCAAAUUCAAGAAAAAAUACAGGCUUUUAGGGCCCCUGUCCCAUUUAGAGCUUUGUGUCAACCUAACCUUGCCAUCCGUUUCCCUCACCACAAGCCCUACAGGCAGGAUGAUAGGAAAUGACAGCUAAUGGGUUAUUAUAUAUCCAUGAUACAUUUUUAUUUUUUUUUCCACGUUUAUUUAUUUUUGGGACAGAGAGAGACAGAGCAUGAACGGGGGAGGGGCAGAGAGAGAGGGAGACACAGAAUCGGAAACAGGCUCCAGGCUCUGAGCCAUCAGCCCAGAGCCCGACGCGGGGCUCGAACUCACGGACCGUGAGAUCGUGACCUGGCUGAAGUCGGACGCUUAACCGACUGCGCCACCCAGGCGCCCCUCCAUGAUACAUUUUUAAAGUACAGAAUCAACAACAACUAUUUAGAGAAUACAAUGCCAUUUCUUAUUUUAAAGUCAUCCCCAAAGGCUAAUAACUUCACACAUCUGGUUUGGCUCAGAAGGUCACCAGCAUCUCUGAUAGAAUCCAGUUGUGGAAUAGAAAAUAAUAUUUCAUCUAAGAAGUAGAUGAUCCAGAGGCAGCAAAUGAAAAACCACUAUGGAAUGCUAUAAGGUAUAUUAACAAGGGAGGGGAAACAGCUUUGGGUGACUCAUGGAAAACUCAGAGCCAACAAGGAUAAAGGGAUGGAAGAAGGUGAAAGAGGGAAGAGUUUCUUAAGGAGUCUCCAGUGACAAAAACAUAUGCAUUUCCUGAGCACUCCAGAACAAAUAAUUAAGGUAUCAACAAAGAUAUCAACAAAUUCAACAAAGGUGGCUCUGUUGUUCCAAAAUUUGACUGUCCUAAAUAGGCAAAUUUAAUAACUAAAAAAGUCAUG